rnacentral:rRNA from 1 species
GAUUAGCUAGUUGGUGGGGUAAAGGCCUACCAAGGCGACGAUCUGUAGCGGGUCUGAGAGGAUGAUCCGCCACACUGGGACUGAGACACGGCCCAGACUCCUACGGGAGGCAGCAGUGGGGAAUAUUGGACAAUGGGCGCAAGCCUGAUCCAGCCAUGCCGCGUGUGUGAAGAAGGCCUUAUGGUUGUAAAGCACUUUAAGCGAGGAGGAAAGGCUCUUUAGUUAAACCUAGAGAUAGUGACGUUACUCGCAAAUAAGCACCGGCUAACUCUGUGCCAGCAGCCGCGGUAAUACAGAGGGUGCAAGCGUUAAUCGGUUUACUGGGCGUAAAGCGCGCGUAGGCGGCUAAUUAAGUCAAAUGUGAAAUCCCCGACUUAACUGGGAAUUGCAUUCGAUACUGGUUACUAGAGUGUGGGAGAGAUGGUAGAAUUCCAGGUGUAGCGGUGAAAUGCGUAGAGAUCUGGAGGAAUACCGAUGGCGAAGGCAGCCAUCUGGCCUAACACUGACGCUGAGGUGCGAAAGCAUGGGGAGCAAACAGGAUUAGAUACCCUGGUAGUCCAUGCCGUAAACGAUGUCUACUAGCCGUUGGGGCCUUUGAGGCUUUAGUGGCGCAGCUAACGCGAUAAGUAGACCGCCUGGGGAGUACGGUCGCAAGACUAAAACUCAAAUGAAUUGACGGGGGCCCGCACAAGCGGUGGAGCAUGUGGUUUAAUUCGAUGCAACGCGAAGAACCUUACCUGGCCUUGACAUAGUAAGAACUUCCAAGAUGGAUGGGCCUUGGGAACUUACAUACAGGUGCUGCAUGGCUGUCGUCAGCUCGUGUCGUGAGAUGUUGGGUUAAGUCCCGCAACGAGCGCAACCCUUUUCCUUAUUUGCCAGCGUAAUGUCGGGAACUUUAAGGAUACUGCCAGUGACAAACUGGAGGAAGGCGGGGACGACGUCAAGUCAUCAUGGCCCUUACGGCCAGGGCUACACACGUG